CAUGCCGCAACAGAGGCUGGCGAGCUUCGCUCACUAGCAUUUCAAAUAGUUUCAGCUGCUCAGCCCGCCUCUCUUCGACCCCAUCCCCAAACUCAUCCCAUUGCAGCUGCCAUGUCAACACUCGGCUCAGCAGAUCUUCACGCAGAGCAAACUCUAGCAGAGGCCCAGGGCCUGAGGGGGCUGUAGGAACUGCUCGAUCCUCUGCCAGCAAUGUUAGCAUUUGGUACGUGUGGUUUCUCACAGCACUGAGAUCAUCUGCACCUCCAGCAGCUGCCCGAGGGCCUUGCCGCUCCAGGAUUCGCACCACCUGAGGCAAAGGACAGAAAAGAAGAGUCUAAGAUGAUAAGAUGAACACUACCAUGGACUGGAUCCACAGCUCAGUGUUUGGGGACCACUACUACAACCUGCUAUGCUUUUCGGUCCUUAAAGGUUCUGAAUAUCUGGCCAGACAUAUCAUUAUGAAGAAGGCCUCUUUGGCCUCCAGAGAGAAGAAAUGAAAAUGUAUCACAGACCCCUUUGGUCUCCAGAGAGAAGAAAACACAUCACAGCAUAAAAUAACUAGCUCUGAAGCUGAGAUUCUUUAACAGAAUAUAAACUGAAGCUGUCUCAAAUUCUCAAAGGAUAGUCUUCAUAGAAAGACCUAAAUAUUGUUAUGGUUAAAGGAGAUUCAAGAUGCCUCAACUACAUAGCAGACUGUCAGUAGAGAAGAUCCAGAGACGUGAAAAUGGCCAUAUCACUAGUGAGACUAACUUCCCCAAAUUCACGUUUGUGUGGGUAAGGAGAUGGACUUGUAAACUACAAAUAAAAUGAACGUAAUUACAAGGAACA